rnacentral:misc_RNA from 1 species
AAUCAAUCUCAACUAAUACUUUGUGUAUUAGUUGGAUUUGGAGGUCUGCCGUUGACUUGUUCACGGCUCCUCCUAAAUAUAUUAGCUGUUGGUAACGAUACCGUUAGCUUGAUAUUAUGUCUAUGCUGCGGUUGACUUAGUCCAAUGCUUCUAAUCGUCUUCGGACACUAUUCUGAG